GUAAAAUACGCAAAAAGGGAAACUUAAGAACGGGCAUCAUAGAAACCCAGCACAUAGAAGACAUAUACGGCUUUUAAAACUUGCUUUCAAUGAGAAUAACAGAUAACUCAAUUGAAAUGUGACUUUGGCCGUGUAGCCCCAAAAAGUUACAUAUUGCAGCGUUAAAGGUAGGGGGAUUCUACUUUGCCAAUCAGACGUAGUUACUAGGCGGGCCUGACAUUUCAUUGGACCAUUCAAGGUUCUCCUACCUGAUUCCCUUCGGGUAGGUUACAACUUCAAUGUAACCAGAGUGUUGAACGGUACUGGAGGUAGUUCUUCAGUUAAUUUGAUGUCUGCCAUAGAGGAGUUUUGGCCAGGAAUGUCCAGACUUUCACUUUUCGACUUUCAAAGUCUUAAGAUUGUUGUAAUUUCAAAGGCCUGUUAGCAUAAUGUAGCUAACAGUAUAUGUUUUUUUGCUAGCUAUAACUGUAUUCUUGUCUCCGCUAGCUGAUUCAUUGAGCGGUAUGCAGCUAGCUAGCGUUGAAUAGUCCCUAGGUGGUCUCACACGUUUCUUACUUUGCCGUGGACAACAAUUUACUGUUAAAUGUGAACUGACUGGAAGAACUAGCUAACUAAUAAAGAACAACGAUAUGGUUUAAAGGGUUAUUGUAUCCUACGAUAAGUCGUCGGUGAGAAGGAAAAGCGGAAUUCGAACUGCCUCGAUGUGUCGUUUGGAUGUGGAGUCUGACGUGAAAGGACCUGAACAACAUAGACAUGUCCUCCCUUCGUCAAGCACCAUUCUCACUUAACGCAGCAAUUUAAGGCGAGUUGCAGUAGAGAGAAUUUCGACAGUCAGCAAGUGACAAAAAGAAAGCUUUAGCGAAGGCUGACAAAAUUCAGAGAAAAAGUUUACACCAACCCAGAAUUGCUGGAAGAGUACAGAAGGAAGGAAAGAGAGAGGUUGGGGGUUGGAGAGAUAUCAAAAAUGAAAGCAAAAUUGUAAAAUCAAUAUCCGACAAAGCAACAUGAAAAGAAGAAAAAACUGUGGCGGGACAACUCCACAGGAAUUACAGAAAAAAGAAACUGCUAAAAGCUGUAAUGACAUAACACCAUCAAGCGAGGAAAAUGAUACACUUCAACAUGUUCAAGAAGCAAAUUAAGAAGAUGCAGCCUCCCCAAGAGAACAGCCAUUCUCACCUCAGCAGGUAAAUGUCCUGCCAUCAACUCCUAAAAGAAGAGAGACAUCUCUACAGACACCAGGACCAAGGAAGACAUCUACCCCAAAGGAAUCACCCAAAAAGAGGAACAGAAGAAAGAAAACACUAUCAAAAUUUUGGGCAAAGUUGCACUACACAGAAGAGAAGCUUCUGGAGAGGACCAAAGAGAUGGUCAAUCCAAAGAAAAGACUGAAAAGACUUGAGAUGAUGGCCAAGAGGAAGCAGGUAAUUGUCAACAUGGAAGGCAAAGAGGUGUCAUCAGAGAACAUUACAGCCGGAGAAGACUAAUGCACACACUUGUUAGCCGCUUCCUUCAUCGAGAUGAAGUCAACACUAAUAAAUGGGUAAUCUGGAGAACUUUGGAAAAAGGGACAGUUAUUCCAUAAGAGAGCCUUAAUAACGGACGCUAUGGCAUAUCUUCAUAGAAGAUUUCUGUCUGAGAAUCCAAGGCACAACCUUUCCAAGGCUCAAUUCUUUAAACGAGUCACAGACAGAGAAACAUGUGCUUGCAAAAGGCAUGGAAACUUUGGCUUGAAGAUAAAGAAGCUGCACCAGCUUGGGGUCAUAGAAACAUCAUCCCCAGGCCAGUGUCUGUAGUGACGAUGACAUGUCCUGCUCUGUUUUUGGAUGUUUUCAGCCUAUGUAUGUUAUGUACUUUUGAAGCACUGCAAAAUGAAUUUGAUUGAACUUGAAUCCAUGAUUGUGCCAAUCUCUCAUUUAUUUUCUACAUUAAAUGUCAUGUUUUUAAUCAUACCUCAGUCUUAGUAUACUUAUUAUCAUUACAGAAAUUGUCGACCUCAUUUCUGAAACCUAGGUAUCAUUACCGCAACAGGUGUUCAUUUAAUGUUAUUUUAAUGAAUGGAAAAAUUGUAAAUUGCUUUUAAAUGCAUGUGCAGAA
rnacentral:lncRNA from 1 species